AUAGACAAGCACAUUUAGGGUUAGGACAGGGAAUGAACCGGACACUGAGGUUGCAUUGAAGUAUGCUGGUUGAUAGUGAAGAAAAAGCAGCAGUGUAAUACAAUCUCUGGUUCUGUUGGGGAACAUCAUAAUUAAAUUAUCAGUUUAAUGGCGGUAUAUGCUCUGUCCUCCUUGCUGUGGGGCAUGAGAGGGGUUGGGGAAGAUGUUGGCAAGUAUGGAAACUCAGACUCCAGUCCAUGUUGAAGGCUUGCCAUUGGACAAAGGCAUCAUGCAAGUCUUUCCUUGUGUUUUUGAAAUGCAAAAUUACAUUUGCUUAAAUGAAAAUAUUGAGAUAGUUCGUCUCUAUGACUCCACAAUUUAUAUGGCAGCAAGUAUGGAGAACAUCUUUUAUGAGUCCAUUUUAUUAAGUCUGCUUAUUGAUGGGAUGUUAAAAGUAGAUCCAAGCAUUUGUAACUUCUCUCCUGUUGGAGUUAAUAUCUACACGGAUAAAUAGGUUAUUGUGUUCAGUUUUGCAUCAUAUAUUUUCAAUCUGUCUAAUAUUCCUUCCGUGUUUCUCCAACAAGCUCUGAUUACAAUGUGGAAUUAUAGGAAAUUCUUUGCAACCUUUUCUGCUCUACUAUUACUAUUUUAUGUAGAUUGGUUUAUUUGCACAAAUGCCUUGAUGGUUUUCAUCAUUUAUAUUCAAGUUUCCGUAUAUUUUCCCCUUAGACACCUUUCGUUGUGUAGGAUAUGAGAAGGGAUCUGGGUAUCUCACAUUUUGAAGGAAAGAUGGAGGUGAAAGACAUGGAGAUAAAUAAGAAAUGUGAAAAAUGCAGCAACACAAAGCUUAAAUUUUCCACCAGACAAAUGAGAUCAGCAGAUGAGGGGCAGACUACUUUCUAUCACUGUCCUAGUUGUUUACAUACUUUUAGCGAGAAUUGAGUUUUCAGGUGAGAAGUUACAUGUUGCUGUUGGAUAGUCUAAGAAUUUCAUUGCGUCAAGGUGAAUUACAAUUUUUUUUUUUAAUUGGCAUUAACUGAACCAUCAAUUGGCUAAGUGAAGACAGUUUAUUCAGUUUGUUUCUAUUUCCAUUGAGUUGUACCUUAAACAAAUUGACUAAAGGUGGCUUUUCUAGGAGACCCUAUUAAACUUAUAAUGUAAAAGAUACUGCUAUGACCCGAGUGUGAUGGAUUCAAAACACGGAAACAACUCUUGUGCAACGUCAACCAAGGCUCUCUUCAAAAUUGUCACUGCUUUCUGUCUUCUGCUCAAAGAUUGAACUCACCUAAUAAUGCGACUCUGCAAAAAGGGGAAAGUAUAUUUAAGCAUUAUUAGGUUUUGUGCUUUUAACAUUCAGCCUCAAGACGUUUUCCAUUGCUAAGCUUAAAAUGUAUGGUAUUUAAAUGUACUUUUUACAAGAAAAGAAAAUAUCUAUUUCUGUAUGUUUUGCGUUAUAUUGAAUGUUAGUAAUGUGGCUGUUGAACCAAAUUCGUUAAGAGUUGCAAGUGCGUACAAGCUUCUUUAGCACAAGUACAUAUAAGCAACCUAUGGGCAUCUCAUCAAACAAAGUGAUCGUAGGAAAAUCUCUCACAAAAUGAUUUUAUGUAUUUUUAUUAAAAAAAAAAAAGAAGAAAUUUUAUAGUUUGAAGCAAUGAUUAAAUAGGAAGGUACCCAUGCUCUUAUGAAAUAUAAGCUGAUAAGCUUUAUAAUGUGGGUCCUUAUCAAAUUGG
rnacentral:misc_RNA from 1 species